GUUUCGCUCAGAGAGGUCAGAUAUUUGUUUUGCUGCAGUCAGUACCGUAUCUAUAGAUCUGAUUUAACCUGGCCUGUUGUUAGUGUAUCAGGACAUUCUGCCGAAUUUGCAGCAUUUUUGUUUGUUUUGGUCGUAGUUGCUGCUGCUCUCUGCACUCUCAGUGUUAAAUUGUUGCUCUGGCUCAUGCUCGGGCAUAUACCACGGCUUCUGAAAUGGAUAUGCAGUUCGGUGACGAUGACUCGCGGAUAGAUAGAUGAAACACAAGAUCCAUGUGAUAGAUACAUUUUAGAGAAAAUAAAUAGAUUUCAUGAAAUGAAAAUAAUU